UAUUUAUAGGUUGUGCAAUUAAUUUCCACACACUUCCAUCAAAAUGCCAAAAAUAGUAAUUCUCACUUGCAUGGAUGCAUGGGCAUGUGAUAGGCCCGUGAAGUGAUGUCAAAAGGUCCAAAAUUGAUCAUGAGAAAUGUUGAAAGUGUGUCAUGAAGUCAUGCAAUUGGAAUUGGGAAAUGGUAAUGUGAUUCAUCCAAAUGGAACCUUGAAGAAAUUCCAUGUGCAAGUCAUUCAAUCCUUGGCCAAAUGAAGUGAUCUUGGACUUUUUGAAAAAGUGAGAUCAAGGGGAACAACUUUCAUGUUGAGAACUUUUCCAUUU
rnacentral:lncRNA from 1 species